CCGUCGAGGAUUAGGAUCGAGUUUCUUCGAUCGUGAGGGCAAUUAUUAGUGGCCUCUAGCCCCCCAGAUGGCAUCUUGAGGAGAGAGAAUCCACGCUACGAGAACUAACAUAGUGGACAUCGCAGUUGUCCGUAGCCGAUUUGCGGGUUACGGAGUUGUUGCAAGUAAAGAAGGGGAAAUCCGAGCGUUCUCGCGUUGGAUUUCCUCCACGUGUGAAGUGGGAAUGGUAGUGAUAUCUCGUGCUAUCUCUGUCAAGGGCAAGAAGGAGAAGGAAUUUAUUUGAGGCCCUACGACGUGGUGCGGUGGCUCACGCCUGUAAUCCCAACACUUUGGGAGGCCGAGGCAGGCGGAUCAUCUGAGAUCGAGAGUUCGAGACCAGCUUGACCAACAUGGAGAAACCCCGUCUCUACUAAAAGUACAAAAUUAGCCAGGCAUGGUGGCACAUGCCCGUAAUCCCAGCUACUCGGGAGGCUGAGGCAGGAGAGUAGCUUGAGCCCAGGAGGCGGAGGUUGUGGUGAGCCGAGAUCGCGCCAUUGCACAGCCUGGGCAACGAGCGAAACUCCAUCUCAAAAAAAUAAAUAAAAAUUUUUUUAAAAAAG
rnacentral:lncRNA from 1 species